rnacentral:rRNA from 1 species
UACGAAGGGAGCUAGCGUUGUUCGGAAUCACUGGGCGUAAAGCGCACGUAGGCGGAUGUGUCAGUCAGGGGUGAAAUCCCGGAGCUCAACUUCGGAACUGCCUUUGAUACAGCACAUCUCGAGUCCGGAAGAGGUGGGUGGAAUUCCUAGUGUAGAGGUGAAAUUCGUAGAUAUUAGGAAGAACACCGGUGGCGAAGGCGGCCCACUGGUCCGAGACUGACGCUGAGGUGCGAAAGCGUGGGGAGCAAACAGG